rnacentral:rRNA from 1 species
GCAGUCGAGGGGUAACAGGAGUAGCUUGCUACUUGCUGACGACCGGCGCACGGGUGCGUAACGCGUAUACAAUCUACCUUAUACUGGGGAAUAGCCUUUGGAAACGAAGAUUAAUGCCCCAUAGUAUUAUUGAAUGGCAUCGUUUAAUAAUUAAAACUCCGGUGGUAUAAGAUGAGUAUGCGUUCUAUUAGUUAGUUGGUAAGGUAACGGCUUACCAAGACAUCGAUAGAUAGGGGUCCUGAGAGGGAGAUCCCCCACACUGGUACUGAGACACGGACCAGACUCCUACGGGAGGCAGCAGUGAGGAAUAUUGGACAAUGGGCGCAAGCCUGAUCCAGCCAUGCCGCGUGCAGGAAGACUGCCCUAUGGGUUGUAAACUGCUUUUAUAUGGGAAGAAUAAGGGGUACGUGUACUCUGAUGACGGUACCAUAAGAAUAAGCACCGGCUAACUCCGUGCCAGCAGCCGCGGUAAUACGGAGGGUGCAAGCGUUAUCCGGAAUCAUUGGGUUUAAAGGGUCCGUAGGCGGGCAUAUAAGUCAGUGGUGAAAUGCUGUGGCUCAACCAUAGCACUGCCAUUGAUACUGUAUGUCUUGAAUUAUUGUGAAGUGGUUAGAAUAUGUAGUGUAGCGGUGAAAUGCUUAGAUAUUACAUAGAAUACCGAUUGCGAAGGCAGAUCACUAACAAUAUAUUGACGCUGAUGGACGAAAGCGUAGGUAGCGAACAGGAUUAGAUACCCUGGUAGUCUACGCCGUAAACGAUGGAUACUAGUUGUUUGGCUUUCGGGCUGAGUGACUAAGCGAAAGUGAUAAGUAUCCCACCUGGGGAGUACGU